rnacentral:lncRNA from 1 species
CCCACACCGACAUAUACGGUCAUAUAAAACAUUAACGAUCAAACCAACAACAAAUUCCAAUGUCACAAGACAUCUUACAACCAAAUCAUGGACAUCCCCACCUAGCAAUCUAAGAUUAGUGAUCGUACACUCAUGACAACACUAUAAAGAAAUAAAGUUUUAUCACGUACCCAAGCAUCACAGACACAACAAAAACCAAUCACUCACAACAAAGACGUACACAAAUAGACACCAUAUAUAGACCAUACGAAAAGAUGACAUCCCGCACUCCGCGCGGGCACACCCCUAGUUGUUUAUAAAAGACGCAACCCAUAUAUGACUUCUGAUUUUCUCAUGUAACACUGUUUCUAAUACUUACUUUGUUCAAACAUCAAACACCAUUUAUCUUACCGGCAACAAUGAAUCUCCUGAACUCCGAUGAUGCCUUAUUAAUGAUUAACACUUUAUUGAACUCCUCCGAUUUGUGGCCAUUAGAUCCGGCGAAUCUCAGCCAGCUGCCACUAGCUCCGACGGCCAUUAACUCCUCCUCCGAUUUGUGGUCAUAUGUUCCGGCGAAUUUCGGCCAGAUCCAGUACGAGGAAAGCAACAUUUCAGCCAGCGCCGUAAAGCUCGAGGACUCAGCUCACUUUAACAUUGAUGCCAAAACGACGCCGGAAAAGAAACGCGGGAGAAGACCGACGCACGGUAGAGAAGAGCCGAUGAACCACGUGGAAGCCGAGCGGUUGAGACGCGAGAAGCUAAACCAGCGGUUCUACGCGUUACGAGCGCUUCUGCCAAACGUAACGAAAAGGGAAAAGGCGUCGAUACUUGAAGACACGGUUACGUACAUUAACGAACUGAAAGUAAACGCGGAAAACGCUGAAUCGGAGAAAAACGCGUUUGAGAUCCAGCUCAACGAACUCAAGGAAAAGAUCGCAGGAAGGAGAAACGGGAGUUCUAGCGUUUGUGGCGGCGGGGAAAAGACGCCGGAGAUUGAGGUGAAGAUCGACGUGAAGGUUAUGGAUCGUGAUGCGCUGAUUAGACUGGAGUCGAGCAAGAACAACCAUCCUGGAGCGAGACUAAUGAAUGCGUUUAUGGAUUUGGAGGUAGAAGUGAAUCACGCGAGCAUCUCGGUGAUGAACAAUCUCAUGAUUCAACAAGUGACGGUGAAGAUGGGGUCGAGGGUUUACAAGCAAGAGCAGCUCCGGGACUUGUUGUUGUCGAAGGUUAAUUAGCGAUUAAUUUUGGGAUUUGUUGAGGUUUAUGAGGUUCAACUUGUAAUUAAGCAAUUGUACUUUGUUUGUCUCAUCAUGCUUCCCAGCCGUUUGGAUUAGAUUUUGUGUACGUCCCCUUGGUAAUGAUAUGGAUAUGGAUAUGGAUAUGUAUACGUGGUACUCAUAGAUUCACUAGUAAGCCCCCAUAAAGAAGGAUAAGCCAUAGCUAACUAAAAAUCUAACCGCUGGUGAAAAAUGAAUUGGUUGCGACGUGGUUGGUGUCGGAGAUUCUUCUUCCGAAUAAUUCUUGGCCCACCAUAACAGGAUGUCGCUUCAUCAUUUUUAAUGGUUUUUACUAUAUCAACAAAUAUGGAGCCAAUAAACCCCAAAUGAAAUCUAAAAAGGCAUCUGUAAAAAUCUUGGCCUGUGGUAGGGUGACAGGUCGGAGAUAUGAUAGGCCAACAACACAUUUUUAAAUUUUUUUCCUUUUUUUCCGAGAGAAAGUUUUUUUUUUUUUUUUGUUCAACCUUCGAGAGAAUAGUUUGCUGAUAGAACGUCGUCAGUCACCUAUAUUUAACAACUUCUUAGGCUUAGUUAGAAGUAAAGCUACAAAGUAAGAUUUGUAUACGUACACUUGAACAUAUGGCAAAUGACUUAAGGAAGAAGGAGAGAUGUGGGACUUGGCUCAAAAGGAUGAGAGCCGGAUGGAAUGGAAGUGAAAGGUAUACUCUUUGUAUCUAAGUUAACUAUCUGUACUUAAUUUCAGUUUGUGCCUUUGGUUAGGUGAAAGAUUAGUUUAGGCGAUUAUUGGCGUAAACCAAUACACAUGUCUCUGUUAUGGACGUGUGUAAGAAAGUCUGUAAAACGGCUAAAUUAUAAAGUCAUUUUCACUUAUAAUCCUAAUAGAUUUUUUUUAUAGAAAAUGUAAUCCUUUUUUUUUGAGCAACCGAAAAUGUAAUCCUAAUAGUUGAUUGUAAGAGAAAUGCACAUAUUGGACCGUCAUGAGAUUUCAGGAACUAUAGACAAUUUAGUUAAAAAAAAUGGAGGGGAUUGGCUGGGUUUUGUCUAUCUACUUUAACUUUAUUUUUUUCUAAAUCAUUAAACUUUACCAAUCAUGCUUUAGCUUUACUUUUCAAAACUAAAGCCUACAUUACUUUUAAUUCUCAUCCUUAUCUGAGAAACCAUGAAAUAAGUCGGAUUAGAUCAAAAUCGAAACAUAAAGCAAUAGAUCGAGCAUCCACUUUCUCAUCCAUAACUCGGACUUGGAGUUGAAGAAAGGAAGUGUUAAGUUGAGGGAGUGAGUCGGUGAGACAACCCAAUGAGGAAGCCAUCCUCGUCGUCCCUGCCUUCCUUAUCAGUCAACAUCCAGCUUUCGAAUCAGCAAGAAGAAGGUGGGAAGUCGGCCGUUGAUGGAGUUCAUGCAAAACAGAGACUAAAACCGAUUGAAUGCAAAGGAGUGGGAUCAUUGGUCGAGACCACAUAUCUUAUACAAUAAAGGAGACUUGCCUCUCUCCUUAGAGUGCCAAAUCAUCGAAGAAGGAGAGGCAAAUCAGGACACGUGUCUGAUUCUCUAAAAGCGAUUGUAGUUCUCGAUUUAUAACUUUACACGAUUUGUACUUGCAUGUUGGGCUAUUAUUUAAGAGCUUAGCCCAGUUAAAAUAAUAAACAUCCGACCCACUAAUAAAGUAGGUUACAAGCAAGCGUCUUCUACUUCUUCAUUGUCGACGCAACCAUCAAAUCUUCUCCCCUCAAUUCCGUCAAUGGAGUAAAUCAGUAUCAAUGGCAUGCAAUUAAUUCACCGUACUUUCUCCUCAUCAAUCCAGACUUUUCACCUCCCCCAUCAACCGAAUCAGCUACUUUAUUAGUGGGUCGGAUGUUUAUUAUUUUAACUGGGCUAAGCUCUUAAAUAAUAGCCCAACAUGCAAGUACAAAUCGUGUAAAGUUAUAAAUCGAGAACUACAAUCGCUUUUAGAGAAUCAGACACGUGUCCUGAUUUGCCUCUCCUUCUUCGAUGAUUUGGCACUCUAAGGAGAGAGGCAAGUCUCCUUUAUUGUAUAAGAUAUGUGGUCUCGACCAAUGAUCCCACUCCUUUGCAUUCAAUUGGUUUUAGUCUCUGUUUUGCAUGAACUCCAUCAACGGCGACUUCCCACCUUCUUCUUGCUGAUUCGAAAGCUGGAUGUUGACUGAUAAAGAAGGCAGGGACGACGAGGAUGGCUUCCUCAUUGGGUUGUCUCACCGACUCACUCCCUCAACUUAACACUUCCUUUCUUCAACUCCAAGUCCGAGUUAUGGAUGAGAAAGUGGAUGCUCGAUCUAUUGCUUUAUGUUUCGAUUUUGAUCUAAUCCGACUUAUUUCAUGGUUUCUCAGAUAAGGAUGAGAAUUAAAAAAGCACACACCAAGACCUAAACGCUAAGGCUAUCUCUCUUUGAAAACGCUAUGUUCUUGCAGCAACGUCUCACCCAUUAGGUAUAUGAAAAUCCAUUUUCGCUUUUGCUUAAAGCAUCUAACUUGAAGCUUGGAUUUUGUGGUUACCCUUCUUAGCUUUCUUAAGGUUCACACGAAAACGUAGACAAGAGCUGGUGCCGCAAGAACGGCUAGACAGACUGUGCAAGAGCUCGAAUGGCUGUUUGACAAGCACAAACCUCUUACGAAUCAUACUAUUGCGAGAACCCUACAACUAGAAGUUCCUUGAAUGGCGAUUACUCAGCUCUACUGCUCCAAUUUGAAGGCUGGUUGUUGCAAGGACAGAGGUGUUGGGAGGCGAGGAAUGUUAAGAAAUCCGGCGAGCUUAUGGGUGUGGAUUUGGUGUUCCUCGAUAAGAAGGUAAAGAUCCUUGAAAGGUUUUAUUGUAAUUACUUUAACAUCUUGCCUUUAUAUAUAGUUUUUUUUUUUGUAAACGAUUUGUUGCCUUUAUAUUUACCAUUGAGACCAACGAGUUCAUCCUUUUUUCAGCUACCUUGAUCCACGGUUCUAUACUUCUAUUGGUGCUCAUAGACUCAACACUUUCAACCACUUGCUGAGGGAAGGGGUCAUCUAUGAGUCGAGCAAAUUCCAAAACAUCAACAUGAACGGCUACAGGCUUACCAUCUGCAGCAUCAGCAGAAACAUAUACAUCACGCUGAUAUUGUACGUAGGAAGUGGAUAAGUUUGAGCUUUGAUAACUCGAGUUGUACAUCGCUUAGUGCCUUAUGAAAGGAGAUGAGCAUGGAAGCAGCAAAUGUGGAAGCUCUAGACGAGGCCACUGCUCUAAGAGAACGUCAGAUGUAUAUUUUUGUAUUUCAUUUGACAGCCUCACUUAAUAAUUAUUGGGCAUUUAAAAGCCAUGUUUGAAAUUGACAGGAAAUAUCGGGUAGGAAAUCAGAGUGCCUCCUAUAAGUAACAGGGUUGCAGAUAUCCCUCUUGGGAAAAUAUGGUCACAAACCCAUUUAUGGAUUUCCUUAUCGCAGGUAUUUACUUAUCUUGAUCACUCUCUUUCAGUUGAUAAACACAUACUAGCAAGAAAAAGGCUCUAUGAUGUGUAAAGUAUGAGUCUUUUUGAUGUUGUGUUCAAAUUGCAGGGGAUAUUUUAAAUGCGGUAGCAAGACAGAUUGUCCUUAUAGGAACCACAUAGAAAGAUGUUUGGAAGAUCCGGCAAUGCCGUAACAACAUAACUUUCAUUUAUCAUCUGUGUUCUCUCCAAUGUGCAUGAUGAUAGAUGGGUCUUGAUUCGGCUCCAAUAUUGUGUGAUAAAAUGAUGGAAGCAGUGCUUUUAGUUCGGUGGAUUUGCGCAUGAGAGAGUUUACUGCUGUUGGUUGGUUUGGUUUAAGGGGUAAACGAAGGAUUUGUAAAGACCUUUGUUCUUAUUCCUAUCAAGUUUAUUUCUUUUAAUGAUUCGCAAUUUUGUAGCAGGGUCACAAAGAAAUCAAAUUGAGUAAACCAAACAAAGUAUAUAUCCAGAUCAUUUGAUGUUUUUAAUAACACGAACCAAUUGGUUUAAAACUAAAUUAAAAAACACACACACUGAGAAACCAAUGUAGCUUUAUUAGUUAAGAAUAAGACUAAGUGUUUUCCUGCACCAAGUAAGGAAUUUUUUAAAUAUAACUUAUAUUUAAAAAUAAAUUUUAUUAAAUAUUAUAGAUUUUACUAUUUUUUACUAAUAUUUAAUAUAUAUUUGAUAUAUAUUAAAUAAAUUUGUAUCAAACUAAUAAAAUGAUAUAAAAUUGUAUAAUUAUAAAAAAUUUGGCCUAAACAAUAUUUAUAAAAUUUGUAGAUAUAUAAAAAACUAAUGAUCUUACGAUUAGAUAUUUAAAUUUUUUUAAAGUUGUAGAAAUUUUUUAAAACUUUAGUAAUACAAAAUAAUAAUAUUUUGAAAUUUGAAAUGUUAUAUUUGAAUAUAUUUAUUUUAUAAAUGAUGUAUGAGCUAUUACCAUAUUUAAAAAAAGUUUACCAAAAAGAAAUAUCAAUAUUGAAUGUAAUAUAUGAAUUAUUACUAUAUUCUAAUAAGUUUGCCAAAAAUAUAAAUCAACAUUCAAUGAAAUUAUCCAUGUCGUACUAAAAACAAUCUAAUUCAAGCCAACUUUCACACCUCAAGCUCUAGCCGCCGACCAAUUUUACAUCGUCUCCAAUACAAGCAUAACGGCCAACCCCACAUCAACAUGGGUUCAGAGAAACUAACACUGUGGAUUUGACUUUUCUAAGUACCCAACGAACAUAACCCAAAACAAACAACUACUCCAACAACUUACUAAUAAAAAGAGAUAAAUGGGUUUCAAAGCCACCACCAUGGACACUUAACAUAACUCGAAUGCACAAUGAUAACUUUAACCGCAUUCAGCCCACACCGACAUAUACGGUCAUAUAAAACAUUAACGAUCAAACCAACAACAAAUUUUAAUGUCACAAGACAUCUUACAACCAAAUCAUGGACAUCCCCACCUAGCAAUCUAAGAUUAGUGAUCGUACACUCAUGACAACACUAUAAAGAAAUAAAGUUUUAUCACGUACCCAAGCAUCACAGACACAACAAAAACCAAUCACUCACAACAAAGACGUACACAAAUAGACACCAUAUAUAGACCAUACGAAAAGAUGACAUCCCGC